rnacentral:lncRNA from 1 species
GGCUGGUAAGGCUUCAUAAAGAACGUGGAAGGGCAUUCUAAGUGAGAGAACACAAUACACGUAUGCGUGGAAAUGAGAGACAUGUCCAGGGAACUUAGAUUAGACCAAUUUGGCAAAGAAAUAGAGCUAAUUUAAAAGAGAGUGAGAGAAAAGAAAAGAUAGGUUGAGAAGAGAUUAGUCUUAGAAUAAAUACAUUUUGCUAGAGGGAAACUUCUGAAAAUAUUUCAGCACAAAUGUGACCUGAGAAAAAAAAUGGCAUUUUCAGAUGUUCAGCUAACAACAUUCAACAAGUAGAACGAACUAAUGAAAGAAAACAUGAGCAGAAGGAGGACUCUUAAGUAGCUAUUGCUAUACUUAGGACUAAAGGUGUGAAUAUCUGGACAUGGCCAGAGCUAUAUUCGUGUUAGUUGAAGACUGAAGAAAAUGUAAGACAUGAUGAAUAAAUUUCUGUAGAUUAAAUUCUGCGGGUCUUGCCUGGGCUCACUGAUGCAGCUGCUUUCAAAUGCUGAGUUGCAUGGGGACUGCACUCAGCUAGGAUGUCUGGUCUUCACUCUCCUUGGAGCAGGCUUAUUCACUUUGUAUAACAGCAGCCAUCCAAGAGGGUGGAAAACACAUCAGAGUGAUGAUAGGAAGCAACAUUUAAGUUUAUAUACAGAAGAUAUCUUGAAAAUUCCUGUUUUUUCAUAUCAAGGAUAUAAAGGAUAAUGUUGCUCAAAAAAUGCUAUAAAAUGGCUUCUAUGUGCUUCCAAGUGAUAAAAACAUUGGCUGUUGGAAUAAAUCCUCUGUCAAUCAAACUGUUCCUUUGUUUUUCCUUUUUAAGAAAAAAUAACAGAAAAGAGUUGAGAAAGCUUUACUGGCUGAGCAAAUUUUUUUGUGAAACACUAUGACUUCUGGAUAGAACAAUCACUAUCAAUUUGAGAAAGGAAAGAUUUUUUUAAAUAUAUAUAUAGCUGGGUUCCAGAUGUAAGAUGGAUUUGAAGUGACACAAAGAGCUAUCAACAAGAUUGUUCUUUGUUCUAGACAUUCAAUAACCAGAUUGCCUAUAACAAGAUUAUCUUGUGAGAUAAACCCCACAUUUGGACCGUGAUAACAUAGCAUGGCAGAGUGAUAAACUACAGAGACAAGGGUGUGAACAAAUUGAUGUGGG